ensembl:rRNA 5S_rRNA 5S ribosomal RNA
UCUGGCAGCCACAGCACUCAGCGCUGUAAGCUUGUCAGUCCUUACUAGCUAAGGAAGGGCUGGCCUGCUUUGGGCAAGGAUGAGAGACCUCCCAGGAACAAGUAGGUACUUCAGGAA